rnacentral:rRNA from 1 species
CACAGAGUUAGCCGGUGCUUGCUAAGGAGGUACCGUCAACUUCGGUCCUGUUAGAACCGAUUCUUUCGUCCCUCCCCACAGAGCUUUACAACCCGAAGGCCUUCAUCACUCACGCGGCAUCGCUGGUUCAGGCUUGCGCCCAUUGACCAAGAUUCCCCAUGCUGCCUCCCGUAGGAGUCUGGUCCGUGUUCCAGUACCAGUGUGGCUGAUCAUCCUCUCAGACCAGCUACCCGUCUUUGCCUUGGUGAGCCAUUACCUCCCCAACUAGCUGAUGGGCCGCAGACCCCUCCCCGGCGGUAGGCCCUUGCGGGUCCCUACUUUGCUCAAAGUGGCAAACCACCUCGAGCUGUACGCGGUAUUAGCGCUCCUUUCGGAACGUUGUCCCCCUCCGGAGGGCAGGUUAUCUACGUGUUACGCACCCGUGCGCCACUUUCAGGGGUUCGCCCCCUUCUCGUGCGACUUGC